AUGCGUGGAUAAUCUGCCCUUGAGUUCGGAAUAACGUACCGAAAGGUGCGCUAAUACCGGAUAACACUGCACAACUACUGUUGUGUAGUCAAAGAUGGCCUCUGUUUACAAGCUUUUGCUGAAGGAUGAGUCCGCGUACCAUUAGCUAGUUGGUGGGGUAAUGGCCUACCAAGGCGACGAUGGUUAGCUGGUCUGAGAGGAUGAUCAGCCACACUGGAACUGAGACACGGUCCAGACUCCUACGGGAGGCAGCAGUGAGGAAUAUUGCGCAAUGGGGGCAACCCUGACGCAGCAACGCCGCGUGAGUGAGGAAGGUUUUCGGACCGUAAAGCUCUGUCGAGCGGGAAGAAAUGCAUGGUGGCUAAUAUCCAUCAUGCUUGACGGUACCGCUAAAGGAAGCACCGGCUAACUCCGUGCCAGCAGCCGCGGUAAUACGGGGGGUGCAAGCGUUGUUCGGAAUUAUUGGGCGUAAAGAGCGUGUAGGCGGCUGAAUAAGUCAGAUGUGAAAUCCCUGGGCUUAACCCAGGACGUGCAUUUGAAACUAUUCAGCUUGAGUAAGGGAGAGGAAAGUGGAAUUCCUGGUGUAGAGGUGAAAUUCGUAGAUAUCAGGAGGAACACCGGUGGCGAAGGCGACUUUCUGGCCCUAUACUGACGCUGAGACGCGAGAGCGUGGGUAGCAAACAGGAUUAGAUACCCUGGUAGUCCACACCGUAAACGGUGAACACUAGGUGUUAGGAGGUCUCCGCCUCUUAGUGCCGAAGCUAACGCAUUAAGUGUUCCGCCUGGGGAGUACGACCGCAAGGUUGAAACUCAAAGGAAUUGA
rnacentral:rRNA from 1 species